AACGCUGGCGGCAUGCCUAAUACAUGCAAGUCGAGCGAACAGACGAGGAGCUUGCUCCUCUGACGUUAGCGGCGGACGGGUGAGUAACACGUGGAUAACCUACCUAUAAGACUGGGAUAACUUCGGGAAACCGGAGCUAAUACCGGAUAAUAUAUUGAACCGCAUGGUUCAAUAGUGAAAGACGGUUUUGCUGUCACUUAUAGAUGGAUCCGCGCCGCAUUAGCUAGUUGGUAAGGUAACGGCUUACCAAGGCAACGAUGCGUAGCCGACCUGAGAGGGUGAUCGGCCACACUGGAACUGAGACACGGUCCAGACUCCUACGGGAGGCAGCAGUAGGGAAUCUUCCGCAAUGGGCGAAAGCCUGACGGAGCAACGCCGCGUGAGUGAUGAAGGUCUUCGGAUCGUAAAACUCUGUUAUUAGGGAAGAACAAAUGUGUAAGUAACUAUGCACGUCUUGACGGUACCUAAUCAGAAAGCCACGGCUAACUACGUG
rnacentral:rRNA from 1 species